rnacentral:lncRNA from 1 species
CCACGUUUAAACUGUCCCUGCUGAUGCUGCACCCAUCCGGGAGCAUCCCUGCACCAUAGCUGAGCAUUGCACAAAGGACCACCAGUUACAUCCGGCCUGCCCAAGGGCUCCACAGGCAAUGAGCAAAAGGAAUCCCAGGUGCUUCCAGGAUUGGAUGGCCCCAGAACCCAGGACCCUGAACCCAGUCUGUAAGUGGAGGGAAGCCUUCAAGAGCAAGGGGGAAGCUGAGAGGAGAGGCGGUGACAGCUGAAGCUCGAGCAUUGGUUCGGAACUGCCAACUAGGCCCAGAGAGUGCUAGGGCUCUUGCUAAACCUAGAGGAAGUUACGAGGGGAGCUUUGCUUCUCUUGUUAUGAGACAAGACUACCUCACUGGGAGCACUAGAGGAAGUAGAUUAAAAAAAAGGAAGUGCCUAAGAGGACAGAGUGAGCAAGGCUCUGCACGACGGUUCCUGAAAAAACUGCGGCUGUGGAGUAAGGAGCAGGCCAAGUGACACUUGAGUUGGUUGACGUCAAGACUUAGUAAACAUGAACAAUGGUAUGAAAGUUCCUAGAAAGCAAAUUACAAAGUCUUCAACACUCAAAAAUUUAGUUUAG